AGGAGAUGAGUCUGCGGUGAAACAUCCCGAAAGUUCACACAAAGUCCGCUUCAACAGGUUUAUCCAAACAUACAGGCUCUGCUGGUUCACUCCGACUGGAUCUUAUGGUAACGCACGUGGUCCGUAACGGAAAGAGUUAGCAUGUUAGCCUCGGUAAGUUUCACCUGCUUCCGGUGCCAACUCUUUGCUGAUUUUCAAAAUAGAAGUGACCAAACUUUUACAAAUAGACCCUUAUCUCUUUGAUGGUAGAAAUACCCAGAUCCUUUACUCAAAUGCCACAAAGUCAAGUAAAAGUAAACAGUACAAUCGGACUGAUUGUAAUAUCUGACGGCAUCACAUGACUCUUACAUACUCUGCUUCCUGACUUCCUGUGACCUAUCUCACCACUACAGGACUUUUCAAAACAAAGUUGCAAAGUGCUUCACAUGUGGUUGAAACAGUAUUAAAACAUUUCAGGACUGAGGCAAAUAAAAUCAGACACUUAAAAUAAACGCCCAACAAUAAAGAUAAGAACAACAACAAUAAUAAAAAAACAGAUAAGACAUGUUGGAAAUAAAACAGCAUUAAUAAAAUGCUUUUUUUUAAAGCAAUCUGUUUUGAGAUGUCACAUAUUCUGCAGCCUCAGAUCCUCAGGCAGAGCUGACCGCUACUGCUACUGCCUGUAAUUUGAGUUUGAGUUUAACUGCUCUUGUAUGGUUUCUGUUUUAUUCUAUUCUUAGUUUUAUAUUAUAUACUUAUUAUUAUUAAUUUUAUAUGGGUCUAUUUAUCUGUACUUAUUUCUGUCUUUGUGCUGCUUUAACACCUGAAUUUCCCCUCUGGGGGAUCAAUAAAGGAUUAUCUUAACUUAAAUCAUCAAGUAUCUGUUGGGCAGCAGAAUGGCCCUGUGGAUGUUAUUUCAUACUGUGUAUUAUAUUAUUUGAUUAUAAUUACUGAAAUAUUAACAUGUAAGCAGCAUUUUGAUGUUGUAGUUGGUCGAGGUGGAAAUAAAUGCAACUACUUUAUGUUCUGUUGGAUAGUUUAAUCUGUAACAAUCCUUCAAGAGACUAGUGUUGACCCACCUGAAGGACAUCACAGGUCGAUGAUGCAGACCUUCAGGUUUCUGGGAUCCACAAUCUCCCAGGACCUAAAGUGGGCGUCCAACAUCGACUCCAUCAUCAGGAAGGCCCAGCGCAGGAUGUACUUCCUGUUCCAGCUCAUGAAGUUCAACCUGCCUCAGGAGCUGCUGAUCCAUUUCUACUCUACAAUAAUCCAGUCUGCUCUCUGUUCAUCCAUCACUGUCUUGGCCAAUGAAGCUGAUUUUGUUAUUAAGUGAAUACCGUCAAUUCUAAUAACUAGUUCAAUCCGGCUGAAUAAAUGUCUGACACAUUAUUAAAAAAAAAGAUAUAUUUUUCAUCUUA